rnacentral:misc_RNA from 1 species
AUUAAAGUUUUAGACAGAUCAAAUAUCCAAAUGACAAAUUUUCUGUUGUAAGAAGUGUCUUACAAGCAUAUGCAUAGCAUUUAUCAUCUAUGUUACAUUUAUUGUUGUUGUACCCAAUGUCUAAACAUUUUCUUUAUCAGAAUUAGUGUUAAAGCUUGCCGGCAUGGCCAAUAUACUUAUGAAAGCAAAAUACAUGUGCUGUG